rnacentral:rRNA from 1 species
UACAGAGGGUGCGAGCGUUGUCCGGAUUCACUGGGCGUAAAGGGUGCGUAGGUGGUCAGGUAAGUCGGAUGUGAAAUCUCCGAGCUCAACUCGGAAACUGCAUUGGAAACUACCUGGCUCGAGGGUUGGAGGGGGGACUGGAAUGCUUGGUGUAGCAGUGAAAUGCGUAGAUAUCAAGCGGAACACCAGUGGCGAAGGCGAGUCCCUGGACAACUCCUGACACUGAUGCACGAAAGCUAGGGGAGCAAACAGG